UCCUACAGCACAAAGCACUCCACAACUUGAUCUGAACCUCUUAUUUUUAGCUGUUUCUACCACUUCAGGCGCCGAUUCCAUCCCAGCAAUUGCCAAACUGUUCCAUGGCAUACUUCCAAGAAAUCUUAAUAGGCCUUAAUAGGCCUGACUCUCCUGGGAAAUUCAUCCCCACAAAAGGUCUCUGGACUUCUACUUUGCCGGCUCUGAAAUGUGGCCAACAUCUUAAAGAGAUGUCCAAAGACAGGAGGAAAACAGAAAAGUCCAUUUGGCAUGGUGAAGAGAAAGUCCUAGAUAGAACUAUCCAGCACUCCGAGGGAACCGUGUAUUCUGCACAUCUUGUUUCCGUGGCUUAAGCCUUACCUGCCAAUGACGUCCUUAGGGUCGUACUUCUGGUAAAACUCUUUGGCCGCAGCCCAGUCGGGCAGCUCAUCCUCCGGCCCCACGUCCAGCGUCAUUCUGAAGGUGGUGGGGGCCUGUGUGGAGGAAACGGAGGGCAGUGAGGGCAGUGAGGGCAGUGAGGCCCAAAGGCUCUGGGAGGACGCACAUCGCGGCUCGCGGAAGCGCAGCCCUUGUGGCUGGGGCGCCAGGAUCUUCGGGGAUGGGGACGGGGUGGGGUAAGGAU